rnacentral:tRNA from 1 species
GCCGAUGUGGCGGAAUUGGUAGACGCGCACGCUUCAGGAGCGUGUCCCGCUUUGCGGGAUGGAGGUUCGAGUCCUCUCUUCGGCACCA